AAAAAGAUAAGCUAAUUAAGCUAAUGGGUUCAUACCCCUUAUAUAAAGGUACUAAUCCUUUUCUUUUUA
rnacentral:tRNA from 2 species